UGUUGAAUUCUAGACGGCGGAUGGAGCGAGUUUGUGAAUAUCUCGUGCAGCGUUACAUGUGGGCGUGGCCAAUUAGUUUCGCUGAGAUACUGCAACAACCCCUCUCCACAAAAUGGGGGUAAAUAUUGCGACGGAAUAGCCCACAGAAUAUCGGAGUGCAAUCUGCCAUCUUGUGUAAUAGAUGGUCAGUGGUCAAGGUGGUCAGAAUAUACUAAAUGUGGUUCUAUUUGUGGGGAUGGCUACACUUUGCGGUAUCGGACAUGCUCGAGCCCAGCACCCCUGAAUGGCGGGAAAAACUGCACGGGUAUCUCCGAGGAGCGGCUUCAAUGCAAUAGUGGUCCAUGUCAGACAGGAGCUUAAACGGAGACAACACAUGAGUCACAUGACUUUAAUUUGUCGAAAUUUUGUUGUGAAAAAUGUUAAACUAGCUGACUUUU